rnacentral:rRNA from 1 species
UGGGGAAUAUUGCACAAUGGGCGAAAGCCUGAUGCAGCAACGCCGCGUGAGUGAUGAAGGCCUUCGGGUUGUAAAGCUCUGUCUUUUGGGACGAUAAUGACGGUACCAAAGGAGGAAGCCACGGCUAACUACGUGCCAGCAGCCGUGGUAAUACGUAGGUGGCAAGCGUUGUCCGGAAUUACUGGGCGUAAAGAAUGCGUAGGUGGAUAUGCAAGUCAGAUGUGAAAUACCCGGGCUCAACUUGGGUGCUGCAUUUGAAACUAUAUAUCUAGAGUGCAGGAGAGGAAAGCGGAAUUCCUAGUGUAGCGGUGAAAUGCGUAGAGAUUAGGAAGAACACCAGUGGCGAAGGCGGCUUUCUGGACUGUAACUGACACUGAGGCAUGAAAGCGUGGGGAGCAAACA